UACAGAGGUGACAAACGUUGUCCGGAAUUAUUGGGCGUAAAGGGCGCGUAGGUGGUUGAGUAAGUCAGGGGUGAAAGCUCUGGGCUUAACCCAGGAAUUGCAUCUGAUACUGCUCGGCUUGAGUACGGUAGAGGAGGGUGGAAUUCCCAGUGUAGCGGUGAAAUGCGUAGAUAUUGGGAGGAACACCGGUGGCGAAGGCGGCCCUCUGGACCGAAACUGACACUGAAGCGCGAAAGCUAGGGGAGCAAACGGG
rnacentral:rRNA from 1 species